GGCUGGAUGGCCGAGCGGUCUAAGGCGCUAGACUCAAGAACCACAAAUUCUUCUUCACUCAUAAGGUGAGGUGCAUUCUAGUCUCGAAAGAGGCGCGUGUUCGAAUCACGCUUCAGUCA
rnacentral:tRNA from 1 species